rnacentral:rRNA from 1 species
UACGUAGGAGGCAAGCGUUGUCCGGAAUUACUAGGGCGUAAACGCGUGGUAGGUUGGUGGGACAGGUCUGCUGUGAAAGCGCCUGGCUUAACCGGGCGAGGUCGGCGGAAACUGUUCGACUCGAGGACGGUAGAGGGGGGGUGGAAUUCCCGGUGUAGUGGUGAAAUGCGUAGAGAUCGGGAGGAACACCUGUGGCGAAGGCGGCCCCC